GUGAACCAGUAACCAGGAACAGUACUACAAAGAGCAAUAAGUGUUUGUGCCCUUGCAAUCUUGUAAACUUCUUCCAACGCGUUCAUGGUUUGUGCUGGUGGAAUCCAUCCAAUUGCACUGAAAAUGUCCUUCUGGAAAAGGUUUUGACUGUAGAAAGCAAUGUCCAACAAGAACCAUGUGCUAGCAGUUCCAAGCAAGUGAAGUCCAUGG
rnacentral:misc_RNA from 1 species